rnacentral:rRNA from 1 species
AUACGAAGGGGGCUAGCGUUGUUCGGAAUUACUGGGCGUAAAGCGCACGUAGGCGGACAUUUAAGUCUGGGGUGAAAUCCCGGGGCUCAACCCUGGAACCGCCUUUGAUACUGGGUGUCUUGAGUACGAGAGAGGUGAGUGGAAUUCCGAGUGUAGAGGUGAAAUUCGUAGAUAUUCGGAAGAACACCAGUGGCGAAGGCGGCUCACUGGCUCGUAACUGACGCUGAGGUGCGAAAGCGGUGGGGAGC